rnacentral:tRNA from 1 species
CCUUCGAUAGCUCAGUUGGUAGAGCGGUGGACUGUAGCGAAAGUUGGUUGACUUGAAUUGAACACCCGAAAUUCGAUGGAGUAGGACUCAAGUCGACGAUUGAAAUAGUUAUCCAUAGGUCACUGGUUCAAAUCCGGUUCGAAGGA